UCCUUCAACCAUAUGCCCAACCACCCUAACAAAUCCACCAAACCAACUUUAAACCAAAACAUUUGACAAGCAUAGUAUAAGAGAUAGAACCACAUCUUGGCGCACAACAGUACCGCAAGGGAAACAAGAAAGAAAAAUUAAAUAUAAAAGCAAAAUAAGCAGAGAUUAAAACCCAUACCUCUUGCAUCAUGGUUUAACAAGUCAACCAUGGACAAAAUGCCCUGCUCCCAGCCCAUUACCCCGAAAUCAAGUGAGCUACCUCUAACCAACUUAUAGAGUCAACCCGUCACUGUAGCAAAAGUGUGGGAUGAGUUAGAGAUAGAAGUGAAAAGC
rnacentral:rRNA from 1 species